UGAAAAGAGCUCAUGCCUAUUUCAUUUAAUCUCCUUGCUUUUGAAGUGGCAGCCACAGUUUUAUGGUUGUGGGGUCCGGUGAUGGGAUACUUCAUUAUGAUUUUGAAGAGUUGAAUAGAUAGAAUAGAGAUUAGGUGAUGGUAUGGUGUCAGCAAGGGAUGGAAAUGUUGAUUUAAUUUUCUUUUGAUUUAGUCAUGUGCUUCGAAGAAAUUAAAGAGCUGACAUGGUAUUAUACUUGGGAAAAGGAAUUUUAAUUUGCUUUUGAAAAGAAAGAAGCUAAUUUUGUUGUUG
rnacentral:lncRNA from 1 species